GAUGAACGCUGGCGGCGUGCCUAAUACAUGCAAGUCGAGCGAACGGACGAGAAGCUUGCUCCUCUGAUGUUAGCGGCGGACGGGUGAGUAACACGUGGAUAACCUACCUAUAAGACUGGGAUAACUUCGGGAAACCGGAGCUAAUACCGGAUAAUAUAUUGAACCGCAUGGUUCAAAAGUGAAAGACGGUUUUGCUGUCACUUAUAGAUGGAUCCGCGCUGCAUUAGCUAGUUGGUAAGGUAACGGCUUACCAAGGCAACGAUGCAUAGCCGACCUGAGAGGGUGAUCGGCCACACUGGAACUGAGACACGGUCCAGACUCCUACGGGAGGCAGCAGUAGGGAAUCUUCCGCAAUGGGCGAAAGCCUGACGGAGCAACGCCGCGUGAGUGAUGAAGGUCUUCGGAUCGUAAAACUCUGUUAUUAGGGAAGAACAAAUGUGUAAGUAACUAUGCACGUCUUGACGGUACCUAAUCAGAAAGCCACGGCUAACUACGUG
rnacentral:rRNA from 1 species